GCAGGAUUGUAAAAGUCCUGAAGACUUUGGCCCAUUUUAAAAACAAGCGUGUGGUGUGGUCAAAAGGCAAAAAAAGCUAAGUGUGACAACUGUCAAGACAGCCUGUUAGUAUGCAGUUUGCUGAGGCUUUUGAUAGAGAUCUUGAUUGUAUUAAGGCUCAGUUUCACCGAAUGCUUCUUCUGUGUCUGAGAUGGCUUUUGGUCAUGCUGUCAUAUUUUCUCACUGGAUUGACAGCUGCGGCGUGCCCCUUUCCCCCUUUUCCCAUUUGCACGAGUUUUCUGAGGGUAAAAGUCAUCGUAUCCUGAAGCAUCACUAGGACUUACCGUAAGGCCAUCUGGAGCUGGGGCCUCUGCUAAUGGACAAUUUCCUCGCAGUAUACAGAACUCAGAGCCAUGAAGGACACAUGGUCGGGGGCGCCGCUGUUGCAACGGUCAUGACGCCAUAGCCAGUAUUUAUGGCUUCCUUCCUCCUUCCUGAAUCCCACGUUCCCUCUGCCUCCAGCCAGUACUGCAGCUGCUCAGGAGACUUUACCAGCAGUAAAAUCCACGGUGCACCAGCAAGAGCCAUUGUGUGUGCGCUGAAUGUGCUCAGCCAGUCUCCUGUUGAUGGACACCUGGUGUUUUCAACCUGCGUGUGAUCACAAGC
ensembl:lncRNA